AUCGCCAGAGAGUAUUUGAGGACAUGGUUACAGUUACGUUCCCAGGGGAACAACCUUUGGCCUCUUAAGACAUCUACUUGCUUUCAGUUUUGAAGGAACUCAGGCAGCCAUGGGGUAUUUUUCAGAAUUCCCGGCGGUGAAGGGUCAGAGCCAUGGGCAUUAGGGAGAAAGCUGAAGGCACAGCGGGUAGUGCCAAAGUCUCCCGUGAUGUAUCCUGUGUCCACAUCCCAACAACCCCAUCGGCAGGACUCUUUCCUGGUUUGCCCACAAGGAGGAAAGUGAGGCUUCAGAGAGAUGAAGCAACUUGUUUGAAGGCGGCCACACAGCUGAUGCAGUGGAUGCCAGAACACCCUACAGCUGGAGAGAGGCGGGGAGACCCUCAGGUGCUUGUGCCUACGAGCACUGCCCCAGCCUGGCAGCACCAGGGAUGGGAGAGGAAGGAAAGCCCCAGGAAUGCCUGUGGGGUGUGACAGCAGCCCCUGAGUGAAGAGCUGUGCCCAACCCCAGCUAAGCCCUCAGGACCCAGGACAAGGGGCCUUCUUCUACAUAGGAGAGUGGCCUCAUCAGCAUCCCACAUAGAGGGAGGCAGACAGGCCCUGCAAACCUUCCUCUAAACUUCACGCAUCUCCUCGGAAGUCCCUAUAAUAAUGACAAGUAGGUUUAUUGAGCACUAAUGGGCUGGGUGCUUGGCUAAGUGGUUUAUGUCAGCAUCUCAUUUAAUUCUCCGAAGAACCUUGUAUGCUAGUAUUAUGGGGAGCCUGUCUAGUGGGUCAGAAAAUAUGACUGACAAUAAAAAUUUGAAGACAAUAACAACAAUAAUAACAUUAACAAAGGAAACAAUGCUUCCCAGAGAUCUAAGGAAGGGAAAUUAAUGUCUGAUGAAGGGAUGAUUAAAGUGACGACGCAGAAAGGGAUUUCACAGGAAAUACGAAGAUAUGAAAGUAAUUCUUCAGAGAAGAUCUCCACCAAGAACACUCAACCCACAUUCAGGCAGAGUAUGCAAGGAGGCAAACUGUUGUGGACUACGCGAUCUCCACAUGGAAGAUGUCACAUCAAAAAAUAAAAAUAGGCCGGGCGCGGUGGCUCACGCCUGUAUUUCCAGCACUUUAUGAAGCCGAGGCGAGUGGAUCACCUGAGGUCAGGAGUUUGAGACCAGCCUGGCUAGCAUGGUGAAACCCCAUCUCUGUUAAAAACACAAAAUUAGCCAGGUGUGGUGGCACAUGUCUGCAAUCCCAGCUACUUGGGAGGCUGAGACAGGAGAAUUGCUUGAACCCAGUAGGCAGAGGCUGCAGUGAGCCGAGAUCGUGCCACUGCACUCCAGCCUGGGUAAGACAGAG